GGUUAGUUUUGCGUCGAUGGUUCCUGGCGGGCAUUCGCAACGCCGGGUGAAAAGGGAAUACGGUGAGGAUCCCAUCCGGGGCCGAGGCCGUGACUGCCCCCGCAACUGUGAGCGGUGAGCAACCUCCAAUUACCACUGGCAAACCCUUGCAGGACGCUGGGAAGGUGGAGGACGCGACGACCCGCAAGUCAGGAGACCUGCCAUCACGAUUGUAACCCG
rnacentral:ncRNA from 2 species